rnacentral:lncRNA from 1 species
AGCCACGAUAAAUUAGAUGUUUCAGUUUGGAAAGUAAAAAAGAGAUUUAUGAAAUCAUUACUGAGAUAGAGAAGUGGUAUGGGGAAUAAUUUUGUAUUUUUCUUCAGAAUGCAAAAACUAAGGGACACUCAAAGAAACAAUUAUGUACCAGAUUUAAAACAAAGGAAAACUAAAAAAUAGAACACAUUGUGAUACAAUUCCUAAUGAAACUGUGAAGCUCUUUGCCAAACAAACAAAUAAAUAAAUAAAUUGAUACCAGCAGUAUAAACUUAUUCAAAACAGUUUUAGACAUAUUCAAUGAAGAGGAUCAUUACCAAGUGUGGUUGACAGAGUGCAAUUUUCAGGUCAGGAAAUCUGGCUAGUAAAGAGAGGAUAUACCAAAAGGAAUCUUAAACUACAUCUGGUCUUGAUUUUAUGCUCUUGUCUUAAACAUGAUAACAAGAUUAAGUCAGACAUGGCAUACUGAGCUAGAUAGAGUUUUGAUUUGAUUUGUCAUGGAAUUGUUGUAACACAAUCUAUUGAAUAAUUCUCACUAAAAGAGAAGGUUUUGUGUUCCUAGUCUGUUUUCCGCACUUGAGUCUAAAAUGUAAACUACCUAGCAACUCCUUAAAUGAUUCAUAACAAGCAUAACUGAUUUAGUUACCCUAUAAUUUGCCAUAGGUGUUGCCUUCAGGGGGCAGUGGUGACCUGGUUCAGGAAUGGCACGGCGACCAACCCCAGGCCGCUCGGUCCAUUGGCUCACAGACACCAAUGUGGUGGAUGGCAAAUGGUGUUUAUUGUCAAGUCACAUAGGGUUAUAUAGCUGAGGCCCAUAACGUCACUUCCGCUUGCUUACAUCACAGACCACACGCUACUGCCCAUCAAGGGAGGGGCUCCACCUUUCCGUACAGCGCGACAUCUUCCGGCCGCCAGACCCUAACUACCCACACAUAGAGAGACACUUGAAGAUUAAGAGAUGGUUGCGUAUUGCCAAAAGUUGCUUCUACUUGUGUAAGUGCUGUUCAAUUUGCCUUUACCCAGGGCUGGAUAACCCUUGUGACAAUAUGCUUUGUAUUUCAGCUUAUGUCCCUUUAAUAGAAUGUACUUGCAUGAGUAUACAAGCAUGCUUUGAAGCUGGUUCUGUCUAGCCAACUCAGAACGUGGUUACAAGAAGCUGGGUCAAUUUGUAUCCAUCUCCAUAGGCAUAUGCAUCCAGGGUCAGAGAAACUAAGUUUAAAAUGCCUAAAUUCUAAUGCACUAUGUAACCGUGAAGUGUUAACUUUCUAUUUCUGCAUAUCCAUCCAUAAAUUCAGACUGGUUAAAAUAAUCCCACGUGCAAUCAAACACACACACACAAAAUAAAUAAA